rnacentral:misc_RNA from 1 species
UUUCCGUAGGUGAACCUGCGGAAGGAUCAUUAUCCAUCUCACCGACUGUGGUCGCGGCCUCCGGGGGUUCUCCCCCCGGGCGGUAGAGGUAACACUCUCACGCGCCACAUGUCCUAAUCCUUUCUUUACGAGCACCUUUCGUUCUCCUUCGGCGGGGUAACCUGCCGUUGGAACCCAUCAAAACUCUUUUUUUGCAUCUAGCAUUACCUGUUCUGAUACAAACAAUCGUUACAACUUUCAACAAUGGAUCUCUUGGCUCUGGCAUCGAUGAAGAACGCAGC